AUUGAACGCUGGCGGCAGGCCUAACACAUGCAAGUCGAGCGGAUGAAGAGAGCUUGCUCUCUGAUUCAGCGGCGGACGGGUGAGUAAUGCCUAGGAAUCUGCCUGGUAGUGGGGGACAACGUUUCGAAAGGAACGCUAAUACCGCAUACGUCCUACGGGAGAAAGUGGGGGAUCUUCGGACCUCACGCUAUCAGAUGAGCCUAGGUACGAUUAGCUAGUUGGUGAGGUAAAGGCUCACCAAGGCGACGAUCGUAAACUGGUCUGAGAGGAUGAUCAGUCACACUGGAACUGAGACACGGUCCAGACUCCUACGGGAGGCAGCAGUGGGGAAUAUUGGACAAUGGGCGCAAGCCUGAUCCAGCCAUGCCGCGUGUGUGAAGAAGGCCUUCGGGUUGUAAAGCACUUUCAGUAGGGAGGAAGGGUGUUGUGUUAAUAGCACAGCAUUUUGACGUUACCUACAGAAGAAGCACCGGCUAACUCUGUGCCAGCAGCCGCCGUAACAC
rnacentral:rRNA from 1 species